rnacentral:rRNA from 1 species
AACGAACGCUGGCGGCAUGCCUAACACAUGCAAGUCGAACGAGACCUUCGGGUCUAGUGGCGCACGGGUGCGUAACGCGUGGGAAUCUGCCCUUGGGUUCGGAAUAACAGUUGGAAACGACUGCUAAUACCGGAUGAUGACGUAAGUCCAAAGAUUUAUCGCCCAAGGAUGAGCCCGCGUAGGAUUAGCUAGUUGGUGAGGUAAAGGCUCACCAAGGCGACGAUCCUUAGCUGGUCUGAGAGGAUGAUCAGCCACACUGGGACUGAGACACGGCCCAGACUCCUACGGGAGGCAGCAGUGGGGAAUAUUGGACAAUGGGCGAAAGCCUGGUCCAGCAAUGCCGCGUGAGUGAUGAAGGCCUUAGGGUUGUAAAGCUCUUUUACCCGGGAUGAUAAUGACAGUACCGGGAGAAUAAGCUCCGGCUAACUCCGU